rnacentral:tRNA from 1 species
GGGGAUAUAGCUCAGCUGGCUAGAGCAUCGGCUUUGCAAGCCGAGGGUCAGGGGUUCAAAUCCCCUUAUCUCCA